GUUGGUGGGAGUGGGCCACCAAGGCAACGAUCAGUAGCCGGCCUGAGAGGGUGAACGGCCACAUUGGGACUGAGACACGGCCCAAACUCCUACGGGAGGCAGCAG
rnacentral:rRNA from 1 species